rnacentral:rRNA from 1 species
CCUACGGGUGGCAGCAGUGAGGAAUAUUGGUCAAUGGGCUACGCCUGAAACAGCCAAGUCGCGUGAGGGGAGACUGCCCCAUUGGUUUUUAACCUCCUUUUUCAGGGGGCUAUUGGCGUUACGGGUAGCGUUAUCGUGAGUACCUGAAGAAAAAGCAUCGGCUAACUCCGUGCCAGCAGCCGCGGUAAUACGGAGGAUGCGAGCGUUAUCCGGAUUUAUUGGGUUUAAAGGGUGCGUAGGCGGAAUGCCAAGUCAGCGGUAAAAUCGCGGGGCUCAACCUCGCUCCGCCGUUGAAACUGGCGUUCUUGAGUGGGCGAGAAGUAUGCGGAAUGCGUGGUGUAGCGGUGAAAUGCAUAGAUAUCACGCAGAACUCCGAUUGCGAAGGCAGCAUACCGGCGCCCAACUGACGCUGAAGCACGAAAGCGUGGGUAUCGAACAGGAUUAGAUACCCCAGUAGUC